rnacentral:rRNA from 1 species
GCUAGCGGCAGGCUUAACACAUGCAAGUCGAGGGGUAAGGCUCUUUCGGGAGUACACGACCGGCGCACGGGUGAGUAACGCGUAUGCAACCUACCUCUAACAGGGGGAUAGCCCGAAGAAAUUCGGAUUAAUACCGCAUAAUAUCGAGAUAUCGCAUGAUACUUCGAUAAAAGCUCCGGCGGUUAGAGAUGGGCAUGCGUGACAUUAGAUUGUUGGUGAGGUAACGGCUCACCAAGUCUACGAUGUCUAGGGGGUCUGAGAGGAUGGUCCCCCACACUGGUACUGAGACACGGACCAGACUCCUACGGGAGGCAGCAGUGAGGAAUAUUGGGCAAUGGACGCAAGUCUGACCCAGCCAUGCCGCGUGCAGGAUGACUGCCCUAUGGGUUGUAAACUGCUUUUGUACGGGAAGAACUCCCCUAACGUGUUGGGGGCUGACGGUACCGUAAGAAUAAGCAUCGGCUAACUCCGUGCCAGCAGCCGCGGUAAUACGGAGGAUGCAGGCGUUAUCCGGAUUUAUUGGGUUUAAAGGGUGCGUAGCGGGUUAAUAAGUCAGUGGUGAAAUCCCUCAGCUCAACUGAGGAACUGCCAUUGAUACUGUUAGUCUUGAGUAUAGUUGAGGUGGGCGGAAUGUGUCAUGUACCGGUGAAAUGCAUAGAUAUGACACAGAACACCGAUUGCGUUAGGCAGCUCACUUAAACUAUUACUGACGCUGAUGCACCAAAGCGUGGGGAGC